rnacentral:rRNA from 1 species
UUAGGAAUCUUGCGCAAUGGGCGAAAGCCUGACGCAGCGACGCCGCGUGACUGAUGAAGUCUUUCGGGAUGUAAAGGUCUUUUGCAGGGGACGAAGGAAGUGACGGUACCCUGCGAAUAAGCCCCGGCUAACUACGUGCCAGCAGCCGCGGUAAUACGUAGGGGGCGAGCGUUGUCCGAAUUCACUGGGCGUAAAGCGCGCGUAGGCGGGUUUUUAAGUUGUGGGUGAAAUUCCGAGGCUCAACCUCGUAACUGCCUGCAAAACUGGGAGCCUUGAGGUAUGGAGAGGGAAGUGGAAUUCCUGGUGUAGCGGUGAAAUGCGUAGAUAUCAGGAGGAACACCCGUGGCGAAGGCGGCUUCCUGGCCAUAUCCUGACGCUGAGGUGCGAAAGCUAGGGUAGCGAACGGG